CAACUACUCCCUCCGUCCCAAAUUUCUUGUCUUAGAUUUGUCUAGAUACGGAUGUAUCUAAUACUAAAAUGUGACUUGAUACAUCCGUAUCUAGACAAAUCUCAGACAAGAAUUUUGGGACGGAGGGAGUACUUU
rnacentral:pre_miRNA from 1 species